ACUGCGCUUUGAUCAACAAUAUCGACCCAUAUGCCUUGGAGAAACACAAAUGGAGCACACAACUGUGGGCGUCGGUAACCUAUCCAGACAUCGUCCACUAUCCCCUCUUCUCGACAAGCGCUUAUACCGUGGGCCAACAAAAGAAUUACAAAAGUCUGGAGGCCUACAACCACUCAUCAAUGUCUCGCUUCGUCAUGCGGCGGUAUCCAUUGUAAGCAACCUGUCUCCCCACACUGCUAAGGGCUCGUUUGACGGUUCACGGAGGGGCCUCGACGGUGACGUUACGCCACGCGUCACUUGACUUCCAACGGAGGAAGCGCAUGGGCGCGGUGGAAGAAGGUACGAUUCGUCCCGGAAAGUUACAGGUGUGUCCGUGUGUGUGCGUCACAGAAGGUGACAACAUCCAAGUGUGAUGCAAAUUUGGAACCCGAGAUGGUGACACACACGGACCUGAAAUACCUGACAGCGCAAUACCACUCAUGACCGUGUCACACGCGCUCGAUCCCCCAAAGCAUGCCCGGACAAUGACCAAUAAAGCUGCACUGUGCUUGUAA